rnacentral:misc_RNA from 1 species
GCACUCACAUGAAAUAUAUUCAGAUAAAUCAGUAAUUUCAAUGAGUUCUCUUGCUUUCCGGGGGCUUUGCUUCAUUCCUGUACAGCCAGAAAGCCGAUUCAUAGUUUAUCACAGAAGUGAACUUCAUAACAAUUACACAAGGACCAUAUAUAUCCUCGAUUCAUGUGAAAGAUGCAGAGCUUGUCAUGACGCAUCUAAUGAGCCAGCAUAGUAUUGAGGGUUUUCUCUGAGAUAUCAUAGUGGUUCACCAGAUGUAAAUGCAACAAUACAGUCCACUACAUUUCACAUUGGAUUUUUUUAAUUCCUCUAUUGAGACCUUAUGCCCCAUUCUGCAUAUUUUUCUUCAAAAAAGUAAUGAUGAGGACAUGCUACACAAUUUUAGCACCUAUUCCUUCAUCCACAUGUAUCCUUGCCGAUUCAGCUCCAGAAAAGCUUGUACCCAGGACUGAUAACUUACGACUCCAGAACUAAAAUUUCAUGCUUGCUACACAACGUCACUCGAGGCUCUUAGUGAAGUAGAGAUCAUAGCCGCUGGAGAUCUUUCUUUCUUUUUUUUUUUUUUAAGAGCAACCCACUGGAGAUCUUUGAGAGUGUCUUUAAAAAUAUAUACAUAGCUAGUCUCCACCAUGAAAUUCUUGUCAGAUUGUGGGCUUUCCUUAUCGUGCUCACUUGUGCAAACAGGCUGACACCUACAAAUGUUGAGUCAUGCUAGUGCAACAUAAAGAAAAGCCCCUGCAUUUGAUCAGUUGAAGAAAUAUGGUGAUUCUAACACAUCCUGCAGAUCAAAGUCUCCUCGUUCAGGUAAAGAGGGAAAGGAUAAUGUCGGAAAAGAUUGCUGAAAGCUCUCCAUCAAAUUCUCCAGGAUUGGUUUUUCGUAAAGCUCAACAAACUUUUCCCUGAGUAUUCUGUUCAUUUCAUCCACAUCACAUGCAUGCGUCCAAUAUGAAUCGUGAACUCCUGCAAAGUUUAGGCCUGCUUUUUUGCAGGCAACUGCAGUCAUCAUCAUAUGAGAACCAUCAAGGGAGUGAACAAAGUUAGGGGGAAAAGCUGUUCUUUGCCGCUUAACCAUCACCUUGUCUGUUUCUCUUUGCAAUGCCAACAUCUGCAGGGAAGUUUUAAUAAGAUGCCUUCCCAACUGUCUAUACGGUUGUACAACAGGAAGUCCAAGAGGAGUGGUCCAUCGAACAGGUUGAUUGUUUGAAGCUAUUACCUUUGCACAUUCACCAAGCCAGGCCAUGAUACUUCUAGCACCUUCAAACAUCUCUUCCAAAGCCAUCAAGGUGGUCUUUGCUGCAUAGCAAGAUGCAGCAUACAAAGCUGAAUCAUCUACAAUAGAACCACGUUCUUUUAGCCUCCUUUUGAUUUGGUCACGGGCACCAAUAUAUGUGACACCAUACACUGAUGUCAUAACUGUCUGCUUGACCAAUUUCCUGUCCACCUGAUUGAUUAAAAGCUUAGCAUGCAAAGCAUUUGGAUUAGUUGCUGGAUCUUUUUCGGCAUCUUUCCUCAUUAUAUCAAGAACCCUGGCAGCAAUUCCUGAAUACACAUCUGCAGGUUUCUCUCCCCCAACAAGAUUAACUGCAGCUGCUCCCAACUUGUCCCUUCCAAGGGCAGCAUAGUGUUGCAAACCAUUGCAGGAACCAUCCUGAUGGACUGGCAUAUGUGAAAUAGUAGUUUCUGGGGAGGAGCUUCUCAAUGCUUCAGAGAGAUUAACACAUGUUGCCAAGCAUUGAAAAGGAUCCUCUGCAGCCAACCACCACCGCCUUCCUUCAAGAGGUCGGUCUGCAGAAUCAAAAAUAUCAUCCAGAUGAUUCUCAGUAAAUGCUAUCCUCCCCUCAUUGGAUAACUUGUCUACACCACCAGCACAUACAUUAGCCAAAUGUAUUUUCAGCCAGCGUAAGCCAAACUUCCCAAGAGGUCGCCCCUCUGCAAACUCCAGAAUGCCCCGACACAGAUCAGAGCCAAGAUGAUUCAAAUAUGGAUGCAUGGGGUAAGCACGACCACGAAAAUCAAGGUUAUGAGGGUAGUAGAAGCCUUCCUCAUCCUUCAUCUUCCGAGCAACAGAAAGUUUAAGUUCUAUAUCACACCGCUGUGAAUGUCUCUCACUAUUUUCUUUUUUUGCACUUCUCACUUUCCACUUCCAUUUUCGAAUUUCAGCAUCAUCUUCUGUAUCUGGUUCCUCAGGCAGAGGGACAUCUUCACAGUCAAUCAAACCAGCAAGAGCGCCUCCAUUAGCCCAUAUUCUGUCAACUACUGUAAGCACCUUCUUAUUUAUUCUCCAUUUGGCAUUUCCUAGUGUAUCCAGGGCCUCAAAAACAGGCUCUAAUUGUUUCCUUGGAGUCCUUUUAAUUGCUUCACGUUGUUGUCUUGCUCCAUGGGUUCGCAUAAAAUAGGAUGGCAAAAAUAAGUAUGCGCCCUGGUCAUACCCUGUCCAGUUUAAAGGAGGCACCAACAUUGGCAUGUAAGGAAUGACCAUAUGCCUAGCAGAUUUCUCAAGGCCUUUACGAACAAGUGGAUCGCACUCAAUAAAACCAUAUCUCCUGCUGGUUUUCUGUGCAUCUUUCAUGAUAUUUUUAAGCGUAUGCAUAAAUGCAGGGCGAAUAUCAGGUAGACCAUCUCCCAAUUGAUCGAUUGGAGGUUGUAUAUAGGCUGUUUCAAUUAACAAUUGAAUCAAGCGGCAGCCAACCUUAACAUGUGCUUCUUGACCCCAGGGCUUUGAGUCAUCAUGCUCCUUCACUAAUCCCCUCACUUGGUGAACCUUUUGCUUUUUCAUCAGUUCAGUGACUUUUCUCCUCAGUUUCUCCUGUUCUUUAGCAAGUUUCUCUUCUUCAGCAGUCACAGGAUCUGAUUCACCUUUAGGUUCCUUUUCUUCUGUUCUCUUCUUCUUUUUCUUUGUCUUCUCUAAGAACCUGUGUAUCCUUGCCUCAUGCUCAAUUGCUUCACCUACUGCACAGGCAGCUUGAACCACCCUAACGCUCCCAUUCCCUCCAUUACAAGUCAUCAACAAUCCCAUCAUCUUAUGCAUAGUAAUAACCGCCAUAAUAUCCGCAGGCAAUGCGUCAAAAUACGGUCCGUGAGAAAACUUACCGCUCUUCUGCUUACACAACUCCUGAUCUGCCGCAAUUGCAUCCUUCAAAGGUUCAAACCAACCGAGAAACAAAGACUUUACAUAGGGCAAAUUGGGUGCCAGCUUCUGCUCACACAUGUCCAUUAACAAUUCCUGAUACUCUUUAGCUGCCUCCUCCCAGGCCUCUGUCUCCAUCUUUAUUUGCCUCUUUUUAAGCAUAUUGUACUUUCCUAUACCCAUACCUGCUAUUGUCUUCUUUUGCUGGGGCCUAAAUUGUAUCUCCAUUUUCUGGUUGUGUAUGCUGAUCUCCUCCAUAUGUUCUUGGAGUUCAUCAGACGCAGAAAAGUCCGACUCGUCUGUUGAAACAAUUGCCUGUGCAGCUGCAGUUGCAUAGCCCUUGGAGAAAGCAGAAAUACCAAAAGUAUUCGUUAAAUUAGUGAGACUGGGUUUUCUCAAUUCAUCAUUUUGUGAUGAUAAUAUACCGACUCGGCGAAAACCCAGAAACGAGUAAGGAGAAGUUAGGCAUGUUUGGGCCUCUGGAGGCCUAAUUUUCUCGAGAAAAUUUGAAUCUUGAUAAAAUUUUGUAUCAUUUGAGGAAAUUUUGAGCUUCUUGGGACAAGAAGAAGCUCGUUUGGCAAAGCUUCUCCACAUGUUUUCAAUUGAUCAGAGACGGAAGAGGACCACAAAAUUUAACAGAAAAGAAAAGAUGCAAGUGAUAGACAGUUAGACACAGAACCGACUUUCAAGAAAAAUAUGAGGGGAUGGGAACUAGAGAGAUAUUUAAAGACAUUGACAAGAAAGAUACACCGCAGAAAUUAGAAAUCUCGAAGACAGAAGGAGGAAAGCGAAGGCCAAAGGCGAAAGCAGUCGCCUUUAAACCCUCCUUAAAACCUACAAGCUCAUAUAUGCUCUUUGGAUAGAUCCACGGGUUUCAGAUGGUGGGUACUGGACUUCUGGGUGAGUUCGGAUGACCCGAUCACUAUUUUCCUCUUACUUUUCCUAUAUUGGCUUUUUUUUCUCAGUUAAAAAAAAAACUUUCAAUGAAAAAAAUUAUAAAAAUUCAAAUGUUGCCAGAUGGAUGUUUUAAUUGUUAUUUUAU